rnacentral:rRNA from 1 species
CAGCAGCCACGGUAAAACGAAGGGGGCUAGCGUUGUUCGGAUUUACUGGGCGUAAAGGGCGCGUAGGCGGACUGAUAAGUCAGGGGUGAAAUCCCAAGGCUCAACCUUGGAACUGCCUUUGAUACUAUUUGUCUUGAGUUCGAGAGAGGUAAGUGGAACUGCGAGUGUAGAGGUGAAAUUCGUAGAUAUUCGGAAGAACACUAGUGGCGAAGGCGAUUCACUGGCCCGUUACUGACGCUGAGGCGCGAAAGCGUGGGGAGCAAACAGGAUUAGAUACCCCCGUAGUCCCUGUCUCUUAUAC